GACGAACGCUAGCGGCGUGCUUAACACAUGCAAGUCGAGCGGUAAGGCCCUUCGGGUACGACGAGCGGCGAACGGGUGAGUAACACGUGGGUGAUCUGCCUCGCACUCUGGGAUAAGCCUGGGAAACUGGGUCUAAUACCGGAUAUGACUACGGCCUGCAUGGGCUGUGGUGGAAAGAUUUAUCGGUGCGAGAUGGGCCCGCGGCCUAUCAGCUUGUUGGNG
rnacentral:rRNA from 1 species